rfam:Rattus norvegicus chromosome 16, whole genome shotgun sequence.
GGGGACUUAGCUCAGUGGUAGAGCACUUGCCUGGCAAGCUCAAGACCCUGGGUUCGGUCCCCAGCUCCA